rnacentral:rRNA from 1 species
CCUACGGGUGGCUGCAGUGGGGAAUAUUGCACAAUGGGCGCAAGCCUGAUGCAGCCAUGCCGCGUGUGUGAAGAAGGCCUUCGGGUUGUAAAGCACUUUCAGCGGGGAGGAAGGCGGUGAGGUUAAUAACCUCAUCGAUUGACGUUACCCGCAGAAGAAGCACCGGCUAACUCCGUGCCAGCAGCCGCGGUAAUACGGAGGGUGCAAGCGUUAAUCGGAAUUACUGGGCGUAAAGCGCACGCAGGCGGUCUGUCAAGUCGGAUGUGAAAUCCCCGGGCUCAACCUGGGAACUGUAUUCGAAACUGGCAGGCUAGAGUCUUGUAGAGGGGGGUAGAAUUCCAGGUGUAGCGGUGAAAUGCGUAGAGAUCUGGAGGAAUACCGGUGGCGAAGGCGGCCCCCUGGACAAAGACUGACGCUCAGGUGCGAAAGCGUGGGGAGCAAACAGGAUUAGAUACCCGGGUAGUC